CGCUCUGGUGGCUAGUGGUUAGAGCGUCCGCCUCGGAUGCGGGAGGUCAUGGGUUCGAUCCCCACUCGAGUCA